UACAAUAAUGCAGGCUUGGCUGAGUCACGGGUGACCAAGAAAGAUUCUUAAUUUGUGCAGAGAACAACAUUCAUAUAUAUUCUCAGAGAAAUGAGAAAAGAAACCCACAAGAACCUUUCGUACGACAAAGCAGUCACCGAAUUAUUCUGAAGCAACGUCAUUAUCUUGGCGCCAGAAUAUUGCCCUGAUUGAUUUUUGUCUCCUAUCAGAAACAUGUAAACAAAACACCUAACGGAAUCACAGCAUGGCCGAUGAAGGUCCCUGGAGGAAAAACAAAUGGGAACACUCAGAAACCGAGCCAUCCUAAAUUUUUCUAACGGCUAACAGGAGGCAAAAUAAAAUUCCGUUCGUCU
rnacentral:lncRNA from 1 species